UACGGAGGGAGCUAGCGUUGUUCGGAAUUACUGGGCGUAAAGCGCACGUAGGCGGCUUUGUAAGUUAGAGGUGAAAGCCCGGGGCUCAACCCCGGAAUUGCCUUUAAGACUGCAUCGCUUGAAUCCGGGAGAGGUGACUGGAAUUCCUAGUGUAGAGGUGAAAUUCGUAGAUAUUAGGAAGAACACCAGUGGCGAAGGCGGCUCACGUGGUCCGGUACUGACGCUGAGGUGACGAAAGCGUGGGGGAGCAAACAGG
rnacentral:rRNA from 1 species